rnacentral:rRNA from 1 species
UACGUAGGGGGCAAGCGUUGUCCGGAAUCAUUGGGCGUAAAGCGCGCGUAGGCGGCUACCUAAGUCGGAUGUGAAAGCCCCUGGCUCAACUGGGGAAGUGCACCCGAAACUGGAUAGCUUGAGUGCGAAAGAGGGUCGCGGAAUUCCCGGUGUAGAGGUGAAAUUCGUAGAUAUCGGGAGGAACACCGGUGGCGAAGGCGGCGACCUGGGUCGACACUGACGCUGAGGCGCGAAAGCCAAGGGAGCAAACAGG